UCUCUGGUGGUCCAGUGGUUAAGACACUAUGCUUUCACUGCUGAGGGCCCAGGUUCAAUCCCUGGUCAGGGAA
rnacentral:tRNA from 1 species